rnacentral:rRNA from 1 species
AGUGAACGCUGGCGGUAGGCCUAACACAUGCAAGUCGAACGGCAGCACAGUAAGAGCUUGCUCUUACGGGUGGCGAGUGGCGGACGGGUGAGGAAUACAUCGGAAUCUACUUUUUCGUGGGGGAUAACGUAGGGAAACUUACGCUAAUACAGCAUACGACCUACGGGUGAAAGCAGGGGAUCUUCGGACCUUGCGCGAUUGAAUGAGCCGAUGUCGGAUUAGCUAGUUGGCGGGGUAAAGGCCCACCAAGGCGACGAUCCGUAGCUGGUCUGAGAGGAUGAUCAGCCACCCUGGAACUGAGACACGGUCCAGACUCCUACGGGAGGCAGCAGUGGGGUAUAUUGGACAAUGGGCGCAAGCCUGAUCCAGCCAUACCGCGUGGGUGAAGAAGGCCUUCGGGUUGUAAAGCCCUUUUGUUGGGAAAGAAAAGCAGCAGGUUAAUACCCCGCUGUUCUGACGGUACCCAAAGAAUAAGCACCGGCUAACUUCGUG